GCCAUUGUGGUGUAGUGGUUUGAAUGUUGGAUCUAUGGCUCAGGAUAUCAGAGUUCAAUUCCCUGCUCGGGCA